rnacentral:lncRNA from 10 species
AACUCCUGGCCUGAAGCAAUUCUCUGGCCUCAGCCUCCCAAAGUGCUGGGAUUAUGGGUAUGAGCCACCUCCCCUAGCCAAUACAUUUUUUCCCUUAAAACCACUAAUUUUCUAUGUACCCUCAGACCAGUGCUGCAAAAUAAAAAAGCCAUUAAUUUUCCUGAAAUACCUUACUACUUGGAUACUUGGAUAACCCUUAAUGGUGGUGCUGUUUACCCAGUUAAUUAUUUUUCAUAAAGCAAACAUUCUGGUUUAUGCACAUUUAAAGUUAGAUACAU